GAUGAACGCUGGCGGCGUGCCUAACACAUGCAAGUCGAACGCUCGCAAGGGAGUGGCGCACGGGUGAGUAACACGUAGCUAAUCUGCCCUCAAGACAAGGAUAACUGUAGGAAACUACUGCUAAUACUUGAUAAGCUUACGGACUGUAGAGGUCUAUAAGAAAAGAUUUAUCGCUUGAGGAUGAGGCUGCGCGCCAUCAGCUAGUUGGUAAGGUAAUGGCUUACCAAGGCGACGACGGCUAGGGGACCUGAGAGGGUGACCCCCCACACUGGGACUGAGACACGGCCCAGACUCCUACGGGAGGCAGCAGUGAGGAACAUUGCUCAAUGGGCGCAAGCCUGAUGCAGCAACGCCGCGUGAGGGACGACGGCCUUC
rnacentral:rRNA from 1 species